rnacentral:rRNA from 1 species
UACGUAGGGGGCAAGCGUUGUCCGGAAUUAUUGGGCGUAAAGAGCUCGUAGGCGGCUUGUUGCGUCGACUGUGAAAACCUGCGGCUCAACCGUGUGGUCUGCAGUCGAUACGGGCAGGCUGGAGUUCGGUAGGGGAGACUGGAAUUCCUGGUGUAGCGGUGAAAUGCGCAGAUAUCAGGAAGAACACCCGUGGCGAAAGCGGCUCUCUGGAACGGUACUGACGCUGAGACGCGAAAGCGUGGGGAGCGAACAGG